rnacentral:rRNA from 1 species
ACUCAAAUGAAUUGACGGGGGCCCGCACAAGCAGCGGAGCGUGUGGUUUAAUUCGACGCAACGCGCAGAACCUUACCAAGGCUUGACAUACACGAGUAAGCCGCAGAGAUGCGGCCCUCCUUCGGGACCCGUGCACAGAUGCUGCAUGGCUGUCGUCAGCUCGUGCCGUGAGGUGUUGGGUUAAGUCCCGCAACGAGCGCAACCCCCGUCGCUAGUUGAAACUCUCUAGCGAGACCGCUGCGCGAAACGCAGAGGAAGGUGGGGAUGACGUCAAGUCAGCACGGCUCUUACGUCUUGGGCUACACACACGCUACAAUGGCCGGUACAACGGGUUGCCAAGCCGCGAGGCGGAGCUAAUCCCAUCAAAGCCGGCCCCAGUUCAGAUUGCAGGCUGAAACUCGCCUGCAUGAAGGCGGAGUUGCUAGUAACCGCAGGUCAGCACACUGCGGUGAAUACGUUCCCGGGCCUUGUACACACCGCCCGU